AACGAACGCUGGCGGCAUGCCUAACACAUGCAAGUCGAACGAAGGCUUCGGCCUUAGUGGCGCACGGGUGCGUAACGCGUGGGAAUCUGCCCUUUGGUUCGGAAUAACAGCUGGAAACGGCUGCUAAUACCGGAUGAUGACGAAAGUCCAAAGAUUUAUCGCCAGAGGAUGAGCCCGCGUUGGAUUAGGUAGUUGGUGGGGUAAAGGCCUACCAAGCCGACGAUCCAUAGCUGGUCUGAGAGGAUGAUCAGCCACGCUGGGACUGAGACACGGCCCAGACUCCUACGGGAGGCAGCAGUGGGGAAUAUUGGACAAUGGGCGCAAGCCUGAUCCAGCAAUGCCGCGUGAGUGAUGAAGGCCGUAGGGUUGUAAAGCUCUUGUACCCGGGAAGAUAAUGACUGUACCGGGAGAAUAAGCCCCGGCUAACUCCGUG
rnacentral:rRNA from 1 species